rnacentral:rRNA from 1 species
UACGAAGGGGGCUAGCGUUGUUCGGAAUUACUGGGCGUAAAGCGCGUGUAGGCGGGUCUUUAAGUCAGGGGUGAAAUGCCAAGGCUCAACCUUGGAACUGCCUUUGAUACUGGAGACCUUGAGUCCGGGAGAGGUGAGUGGAAUUGCGAGUGUAGAGGUGAAAUUCGUAGAUAUUCGCAAGAACACCAGUGGCGAAGGCGGCUCACUGGCCCGGAACUGGACGCUGAGACGCGAAAGCGUGGGGAGCAAACAGG